AUUGAACGCUGGCGGCAGGCCUAACACAUGCAAGUCGAGCGGAGCGGCGGACGGGUGAGUAAUGCAUAGGAGUAUGUCUGGUAGAGGGGGAUAACGUCCGGAAACGGGCGCUAAUACCGCAUACUAUCAGAUGAGCCUAGGUAGGAUUAGCUAGUUGGUGGGGAAAAGGCCUACCAAGGGGACGAUCCGUAACUGGUCUGAGAGGAUGAUCAGUCACACUGGAACUGGGACACGUCCCGGACCCCUAGGGGAGGCAGCAGGGGGGAAUAUUGGACAAUGGGCGAAGGCCUGUGCCAGCCAUGCCGGGUGUGUGAAGAAGGUCUACGGAUUGUAAAGCACUUUAAGUUGGGAGGCGUUACCAACAGAAUAAGCACCGGCUAACUUCGUGCCAGCAGCCGCGGUAAUU
rnacentral:rRNA from 1 species